rnacentral:rRNA from 1 species
GCGUUAUCCGGAUUUAUUGGGUUUAAAGGGUGCGUAGGCGGCUUAUUAAGUCAGUGGUGAAAUCCUGGAGCUUAACUCCAGAACUGCCAUUGAUACUGAUGAGCUUGAGUACAGUUGAGGUAGGCGGAAUGUGUCAUGUAGCGGUGAAAUGCUUAGAUAUGACACAGAACACCGAUUGCGAAGGCAGCUUGCUAAACUGUAACUGACGCUGAGGCACGAAAGCGUG